ACUCAUCAAGCCCUGCCUAUAAAGGAAGCAGGAAGUUAAGGGUUCCUUCUUUCAUCUUCAAGGCUGCACACAGCAGGCAGCAACAGAAAUUUUUCACUCCUUAUUCAAUCUGGUGAAUAAAUGAAAAGAGGAGUUUGUCUGACUGUCAACCUACGAGCACCAAACACGUGGAGGACUGUACACACACCUGUGGAGGAUGUAGAGGACCAUCUCUUGGCUUACUGCACUGGCAGCGUGAUGACGUAACCUGCAGCCGAACGAGUCGAGUGACGUGAGGUCGGCUCCCUCCAGGUGGGGCUCCCUCCAGGUGCGGCUCCUGCAGAUGAUGGUGAUUCAAUUCAAAGACACAUGGGCAGCCUGACCAAAACAAGACAAAGAGCUGUUAGCAUGUAUGCUACACCACGCUGCCUCACCUGCUUCCUUCAACAUUUGGUGUUUCCUCGCUCUGAACUGUGAAGAGUAGGAUCUGUGCUGCAGCUGGAAGGAUUUUCUUCAGAUUAAAGUUUACUUGAUAGCUGUUUUAGUUUCCUUUCAGUCAUAGUUUGUUGUUUUUAUCUUUCAGCUAUAGAUUUAGUUUAAAGUCUGUUUUCUUUAAUUUUCAUUUGCAGUUUUCUCUUAACACACUUUGAUAACACAAUUUAAUAAUUUUAAAGUCUUAAUUUGUUUCAUGUUUGUGUUGUCAGCAUCUUUAAUUCCUAAUAGAUGUUUUGUUGUAGUUGUUUCCUUCUUUGUCACAAAGCUGUGACAUGUUUUCAUUUGAAGUUUGGAUUUUUUUUAUAAUAUUGAUAAAUUUCCAUUAGGAAACAUGCUUACUGGGUAGAUAACCAGACAAGUUUCCUCAGAACAAUGAAAGCUGUAAGCUACUAUAAAUAAAACACCUGGCAGAGAACCAGAACAUAAUUACAGAAGUCACUGAUGCAGAGUGGACAGCAGUAGUUUUAUUACAAUAAAAUAUUGAACAGCCAUGACCUCUGUUUUUUG